rnacentral:rRNA from 1 species
GUAACACGUGAGCAACCUACCUUUCAGUGGGGGACAACAUUUGGAAACGAAUGCUAAUACCGCAUAAGACCACAGUGUCGCAUGGCACAGGGGUCAAAGGAUUUAUCCGCUGAAAGAUGGGCUCGCGUCCGAUUAGCUAGAUGGUGAGGUAACGGCCCACCAUGGCGACGAUCGGUAGCCGGACUGAGAGGUUGAACGGCCACAUUGGGACUGAGACACGGCCCAGACUCCUACGGGAGGCAGCAUG